UACGGAGGGUGCAAGCGUUAUCCGGAUUUACUGGGUUUAAAGGGUGCGUAGGUGGGUCUGUAAGUCAGUGGUGAAAUCUCCGAGCUUAACUCGGAAACUGCCAUUGAUACUAUAGAUCUUGAAUUAUCUGGAGGUGAGCGGAAUAUGUCAUGUAGCGGUGAAAUGCUUAGAUAUGACAUAGAACACCAAUUGCGAAGGCAGCUCACUACGGAUUGAUUGACACUGAGGCACGAAAGCUAGGGGAGCAAACAGG
rnacentral:rRNA from 1 species